UUCUCCAGCUGAGGCAAGGUGGGCCCGGGCUGUAUCUCCAGAAUGGUCUGCACUGUUGCUUCUGCAUGGGGCAUAGUGGGCUUGGGUGCAGUGGCAGGAUCAAGUACUGGGGGGAUCUUCAGCAGAGCCCAGCGUUCUCGGAGAUGCUGGACAUAGCCGUGGAGCUGAGCAGCCAGUUCCUCUGGUGUAGGCUUGUCCACACUACUGCCCUCUGGACUAUAAGAGACAGGGGGCAGGCCAGCUGUUCCCAACACACAGCCCUAAGGAACCACACUUUUAUGCUACCUGAGGCCUACCAACAGCAUCCACAGCACGACCUACACCCAGCCGAUAAUCUUCCAGCAUUCUAGUAUGGUAGAUGCUGGGGCUCAGCCAGUAGAGUGCUUGCAGCUCAGUCCUCAGAACUUGCCUAGCAUGCGUGAAGGUCCAUGCCUGGCACCAUAUUAAUAGCCCAGCUCUUAGGAGAUGGAGGCAGGAGGAGUUCAAGGCCACAUUCAGAUACGUAGCAAGGUGGUGAGCCUUGAUGGUAAUAAUGCCACUAGAGGAAUUUGAAUUUACUUGUGAGGUGUGCGCAGCUCAAACUGGGCACCAAGGCUGCACUGGCACUGAGGACUCUCUGCACAGAGACUAAGUCAGGAGCUCACAGCCAUUAGUAUAGACGUUCCUUACAAGUAUACUGAUAACCUUCCCAGGUUCACACAACUUGUCAAGAGUGCCAUCUUUCUCUGGGGCUAUGUGAAAUCCUGUCUACUUCCUGUACCCCUCCUCUUUACUUCCUGGCUGCAAUGAUGGAUUGACACCUCUGAAAUCAUGAGCUAAUAAACCUAAUAAAUUUCUCUUCACUGU
rnacentral:lncRNA from 1 species